CAAACUAUUUUUUAAAGUUCAAUACAAGUGUAUUAGAGACAACAAAAUGCAAAAUUAUUCAGCUUGAUAAGAUUUUACGUAGACAUCCACUUAUUUAACCACCAUCCAGAUCAAAGUAUGGAACAUUUCCAACACUCGGAAGCUUCCCUCGUCUCUUUCCUAGGGCUUCCCCACCCUCAUAGAAAAUUGUUCUGACUGCUCUCAUUUUAGAUGGUUUUGCCUGCUUGGGAUUUGCAUCUAAAUAGAGUCACACAGUACGUAUACUCUCCUGUGUUUGGCUUCUUCCCCUCUGAGCCAUGUUUUUUGGAGUUACAUCCAUGUCAUCACAUGACUCAGUAGUUCAUUCUUUUUCACUGCUGUGUAAUUUUCCACCUUACAAAUAUACUACAAUGUGUUUAUCCAUUUUCCUGUUGACAUAUAUUCAGAAAUGCAGAUGAAAACCACAAGGCGACACCUUUACACAUUUCCUAGAAAAGCCAAAAUGAAACAGGCUGACAAUCCAUGUGAAGAUGGUGGAGCAAAUGAAGCUCCACCUGGUGGGGGCAGGGGUGUUGGAACAGUCACUGUUCAGCAGCAUUGGCUCAAGUUGCACAUACAUCACUCUUUGACCCAGAAAUUCCAUCUUGGGUACAAACCCAAGAGAAAGACGUGUUUAUGCCUGCCAAAACACAUGUACCAGAAUGUUCACGGUCGCUUUAUUGAUAAUUCCAUCACCAUGUAAAUGGCUGCCAAGUUCUCCAUUGUGUGAACGUUCCAGUCUCCCAUUGCCCGGAAUCAGUUCUAAAUCAGGCUAGAUAAGCGACUUUAUACACACACCUUGUGUGAACUUAGAAUUGUUUCCUUAGGAUCAAUUCCCAGGCGUGGAUUGCUGAGUCAGAAGCUACAAACAUCUUUAACUAAGCUGUCCCCAAAAAGUCUACAUUGGCUCCCCCAACACUGAUCACACGUGUGUGACUAUGAGGUUUUCACAAACCCCACAGUUUAAACGUGCACAGUCCCCACCCUGGAGCCCACAGAGCUGAGGCUUUCCUGGCUCCCAGCAGUGAAAGGAAGGAAGGUUUAGGAUAAACAGGCUGCAAGCACAAUGGCCACAGCCCCCAGGGCCAGGCGCUGGGCCACCACCCUCCUUCCACCUGCUGCGGCCAGAGUGUCCUCUGGUGCCGGUGGCCUCCCACAGGCUGAGCACAUAAGGGACCAGCUGCACAGGCCCAGGAGUGCUGAUGCAGGCCAGUCAGACAUGGGACAUCAGCGGGUGAGCAGAACACCCAGCAGUUCCUCCUCCUCAGCCCGUCACCUGGGCGCUGAUUCCCUUCCAGAUUUUGCUCCCGCAGUGCCCCCAGGCUGUCGUGCCAGGCAAGCAGGCAGCUGUGUGUGCAGGGCCGCGGGGGAGCACAGCAGAAAGACCCAAGCGUCAAAGGCCUUUCCCUCUUCUUUGAGAUCAGGGCCGGGUCUACAUGAUGCGAUGUGAAGAGCCCCAAGCAGGCCCCACCUUGGCCAACGACAGUGCCCAAAAUGCUUCGUACUCCUGCCUUUGUGCUCGAUGCUGCCCCACCUGCCCAUCCACCCAGGGAGCAGCAGAGUCAGCACGAGGGAGGGAAGUUAUGAGACUCCUUCCUCCUAGUGGGAAAGGGGAAGGAAGUUUGCAGGAAGCCUGCUUCCCCAAAUUCACAAUUCAGCUGCCAGCUGUGUGGGUCAGGCCAGCUGCUCCCGCCACCAGUCAACCCCUUUCUCCACGCCACAGGAAGACCCAGUACUCAAUCUCCCCAGGUUCUUUCCUGCCGAGGGUCUGGCUUCUGUCACACACACACAAGCACACGCACACGCAUGCACACACAUGCACAUGGGGCAGGGACAAGGUGUCUGCAGAGGCCCUCGGUUCCAUGGGACACUGAGGCCCUGAGAAGAGUGACUCUCUGUCCUCAGUGGCCACAUGGAGAAGGCAGGAUGAAUAAUGUGUGGCUCCCAGAGGCCAGGCUCAGGGUGGGGGCCGAGGAACGGGAGGACAGAGGCAGGCUGAGCAGCCCCGACCCUGGCCUUCCUUCUCUGCCCAGACUGGAGCCCCCAGCUCAGGCUCCAACCUCCGCCAUCCUCUGUCUGCUCUGAGCCGCCACAGACAAUGACCGCUUCCUCCUUGCCCCAUAGCCACACACGUCUGGAGCCAGGGGCCCUCAGAGUUCUUGUAGGCCAAGCCUGUGUCUCAGGUUAGGUUCUGAGAAGCAGAGCCUGAAGGGGUGAUCCCUGUGAGAAUGCUGAACUGGGGGAGUGCCCGGGGAGCAAGGCAGUGAGGGAAGCAGGGUGGACAGAGGAGGACCGCAGCAAGGAUGUGGUGGCCUCCGGCUCCAGCCUGAUCCCAAGGGCUCUGGAGAUGACUUAUAACACAGCCCUGGCCCAGCCUGCGAGGUUCUGCGUCGAUCACCCGCUACAGGCUGGGGGCGGGGGGAUGGGGGUGCCUGGGACGUGCCAGGACAGUUCUCCAGAGAAGGGGGUGCAGUGAGCCUUAGCGGCAAGUCUCACAGCAGCUGGUAAAGGGAUCUGGGCAGAGCGCCCACCGCACCCACUGUAGUCACCCCACUCCAGGUGGGGAGCCCCCAGGUAGCCAGCUAGGUGCCAGCCCACAGACUGGCCUCAGCCAAUUCUGGGCUGUCCUGCCUGGGAAGAAAGAGCCCUGUCUCUGGAUGAGCACAGGGGGCGCCCAGGAAGCAGGCGAGGAAAGAGCAGCAGAGGCAGGGCCAGAGCAUCAGCCAAGAGCCCGUAUUUCUGGAGCAGAGGUCUCUACCUGGGGGAGCGGUUCAUAGACCUGUGCCACCCCCUGCAAUGUCACGCUGGCUGUGGUACGUGUAUAAGCAGGUGUUUGGGAGAGAAAAUCUAAAGAGUCGUGGCAUCUCAAAAGCAAGGAAGAUAAGUGUGAUUGUCAGUCCUCUCCUGGUUGUUCCCACAGACACAUUGCUGACCGGGGGGGUAUGAUAGGGACUCUGGGCUUAGGAAACGCCUGGAGAGCCCAAGACACUUUCCACACAGCCAUGUGCUCAGCCCUCUCCUUCUGGGUUUGGUGGGGCUACUGGGCUGGCCUUGACUUUGGAGAAGAAGAUGCUUCUUCUCUUCAUGGUGGGGUGGGGCUGGGCUGGAGUCCUAGGGCUGAACCCGCAAGCUACCAGAAGGCAGAACCCAGGCCAGGCCACCCUUUACACCCACAGCCCCUUUCUGCGUGUCAGAAAAGGCACUCUCAAUUGACAGAACACUGUAAACCAGCUGUAAUGGAGAAAAUAAAAGCCAUUAUAAAAUUUGUUUAAAAAGGCACUCUCACAGGGAGAGGCAAGCUACAAAAAAAACAGCCCCCUCUAAGUCAGUGGACCUGAGAAAGGGUCCCUUCUUCAGGGUGGGCUGCCCAGGCCCUCCCCACAGCUGCAUGGUCCAGCUGGCUCUAUCCUACCUCAACCAGUCAGCACUAGGAGACAGGCCCCCACCCGACCUGGGCCCCCAGAAGUUGAGACAGGGAGCAGGGGGAAGCCCGGGUGGGUGCCGAGGGCUCUGAAAGUUGAACUAGGGCAGAGCUGGGGCAGCAUCUCAAUGAAGCUGCCGACAGAUUCUGGGCCUCCAGCCAGCUACACACCAGACCUGUGAGGGGGACCCUGGCCGUGCCAGGCUGGCGACGCUGCUAAGGUCAGGGCCAGCGCACACACAGUGGCUGCCCAGCCACCAUGGCUGUGAAGGCGCCCCAAAGGCAGCGGAGGCUGAGGAACGCAAGGGCCCUGGGAGGCAGGAGCCUGAGCCUCCAUUCAAUGUAGUGACCUUCUCCACUGAGCCCUGCCAGGCGCUGGAGACAUCUAGAUGUGCGUCCGAGGGGGUCAGCAUCUUGUGUCUGUGGGGAAAGGGAGGCAUGUCUGUGGGUUUUCCAUUAAAUCCAAUGCCAUGGACCUCAAUCCCUCGAUCCUACCUGCUGGUGAGAAUCAUCUGCGCCUUAAAGCGCUACAGCCUCUGGGCCCCACGAGGAUUCCAUGACUCUGAAGUAAGGUCAUGCCAUAUUUAUUCAUUUAUGUUUAGGCUCUGGGAUAUUCUACUGUGCAGCCGGCCAGGGCAAAGGACUAUUGAAUUGAUCAUUCCCUCCAAGAGAGGCUCCUAUUUCCAGAAAGGGGCUGGGAGACCAAUUAGGUUUGGGAAAUACCUUCUCUUCUAGCUCCUCUUCUUGUCACAGGACCGGCUAACAGAUCAAAGAACUUUCCAAGCCAAAAAACUUUGCUCUGGGGAGUUCCCAUCGUGGCGCAGUGGUUAACGAAUCUGACUAGGAACCAUGAGGUUGCAGGUUCGGUCCCUGCCCUUGCUCAGUGGGUUAACGAUCCGGCGUUGCCGUGAGCUGUGGUGUAGGUUGCAGAUGCGGCUUGGAUCCCGCGUUGCUGUGGCUCUGGCGUAGGCCGGUGGCUACAGCUCCGAUUCAACCCCUAGCCUGGGAACCUCCAUAUGCCGCGGGAGCGGCCUAAGAAAUAGCAACAACAACAACAACAAAAGACAAAAAGACAAAAGACAAAAAAAAAAAAACAAAACUUUGCUCUGGAAAUGCGUUGUUCUUGGCGGUGAUGGUGGUGGCGUGUGCGCACGUGCGCCUGUGCCGUAUCAUCUCCAUUUUAGAAAUGAGAUUCCAAGAGGUUAAGGAAUUUCUGUGAUGCGGUCACUGUGGUCAGAUGCAGAGCUCUCUCUUCUUGACACAUUGUUCCCACUCAACACCCCCUAAACACCUCCAGAUACGGACCUCUCAGCAGCUCCCCCUGGGAGUCAGGUGGCCUUGGGGGUAGGGGUGGGGAGGGCGGUGGCAAAAGGCUCACCCAGCCCCCACCCCACCCCGGGUCCCACUGGGACUCCUGUCUCUCCCUGCAGUCAGGCCCCAGUCCUCCUGGAGGCCAGGAUGCUCCUUCAUCCUGUCCGGCCCCUCGUGGAGCAGAUGUGACAGAACCCGUCCUCCCUAAGGGGGCGCUUGUGUCUUCCAUGUGCCCAGCCCUUGUGGUCAGGUUUGGUGCAGAUUUUCAAUCCUCCCAGCUGUCCGUCUCCUCAGAGGGCGGGGAGGAAGGCGGACGGUUUCCAAAUUCUGUUCCUGGGGUCCAUAUCACGAACAUGGCUUCCCCACACUAAGCAGGUCAUGCUUCCAGGCAGAUGGAAGCAUUUUUGCUUUUUAGGGCUGCACCCACGGCAUGCAGGUGAGGGGUGGAAUUGGAGCUACAGCCACAGCCCACACCAGAUCCGAGCUGCAUCUGUGACCUACACCACAGGUCACAGCAACGACAGAUGCUUAACCCACUGAGCAAGGCCAGGGAUCAAACCCGAGUCCUCAUGGAUCCUAGUCAGGUUCUGAGCCACAGCGGGAACUCCACGUGACCAUCUUUAAAUAGGGCUUGAGGCCCCACAAGCUUCAAAACUCAGGCUGCUCUUCUGAUACCUUAGGCUGGGCAUCAGUCCCCCUUCCAAAGGAAUUUCAACACCCCCCUCCCUCUGGCCCAGGUUGCUGCAUUCCUUCAGCAAAAGGGCGCUCCUAGAGCUGAUGAAACCUGGGUCCUGGGAUGCAGGCUGGCCCAGAAGCACAGCUGAGCUCUCAGAAGCUGCACAAAGACGCGUGUGGGAAAGUCUUAGAGCAUGUUGGUUUCUCUCUGGCUAAAUCUAAUUAAGAUGAAAUGUUAGCUUCCUUGGGAGUCUGCCUCGCCCACUGGGCAGUUGCUGGGGCCUGUGAAAACUCUCUGGCUUCCCCAUAGCAAGACUCACCCAAAAUGUGUCCGGUUCCUCCUGAACUCUGAUUUUAGCAACAAAUCCUUGUCUUCCUGUGAGAUGUGUGGAGGAUAAACUUCUGUUUCCCAGGGAAGUUUAUGAACGAAAAUCUAGCCCAUCGGUGGGGAACUCCACAGCCACCUAACAAAUCUUUCUUAUUCCCUGAACAGCCCCAGCUGAAAGCAAGUAAAACAGGCAGUCAGAAUCAGGGAGGUGUAGGAAGAGACCAGGGGACGAAGUGCUGUGACAGUGAGCAAGGCACAGGCAAUAACUCGUGGUCCAGAGAGACAGGCUGGUGGCAUCUGGAAGUCAGCUUGGGGAGCCUAGGGGCUAAGCAAGCAUAGUCUUAGAUGACAGGUCCUCCAAGGUGGGCCCACUGGCUAGCACCCCAGCACCUGGGAGGGCUGACGGCUUGACUUGAGCAGGCAGAGUAAUUGCGUACACGCAGGUGCCUCUCAAUGGAAAUUAUGUGUUUUAGUUUAUUUAAUCUUCCCAACAAUUCUGUAAUGUUCCUACUAUACAGGUGAAGUGCCAGG
rnacentral:lncRNA from 1 species